rnacentral:rRNA from 1 species
AAGUCGUAACAAGGUUUCCGUAGGUGAACCUGCGGAAGGAUCAUUACCGAGAGGGGGGCUCACGCGCCCCAGGGGUUCUGCCCCGCAUCUUUCCACCCUAUGUGUAUCUUCCACUGUUGCUUUGGCGGGCCCCGGGGCUCAUUUCCCGGCGCUGCCCCUGCAAGGGGCUCGCGAGCGCCCGCCGAAGGCCUAUCAUCAAUCUGUUUUAUCAUGCAGUCUGAGUAUACGAAAAUCAAUUAAAACUUUCAACAACGGAUCUCUUGGUUCUGGCAUCGAUGAAGAACGCAGCGAAAUGCGAUAAGUAAUGUGAAUUGCAGAAUUCAGUGAAUCAUCGAAUCUUUGAACGCACAUUGCGCCCUCUGGUAUUCCGGGGGGCAUGCCUGUUCGAGCGUCAUUACACCCCUCAAGCACUGCUUGGUAUUGGGUGCUCGCCAUCCCUCUAGGGUGGCGCGCCCGAAAUUCAGUGGCGGUCUCGGUAGACUUCAAGCGUAGUAAAUAUUCCGCUUUGGAAGCCUCUGCCGGCGGUUCAGCCAGUAAAAUCUUCUUGUCCAACACAUUGACCUCGGAUCA